AAGUCGUAACAAGGUCUCCGUAGGUGAACCUGCGGAGGGAUCAUUAAAGAAACCGGGUCCGGACCGCUUCGCGGCACCGGCCCAUCGUUUUCCCCACCCUUUGUGUGCCGACCCUGUUGCUUCGGGGUGGUCCCAUGGACCCCCCGGCGGCCCCUUCAAACUCGCGGUAACGUCCGUCGGAGUCUCAAGUAAUUUGAACAAA
rnacentral:misc_RNA from 1 species